UCGGGAAUUUUGGGCAAUGGGCGAAAGCCUGACCCAGCAACGCCGCGUGAGUGACGAAGGCCUUAGGGUUGUAAAACUCUUUCGUCGGGGACGAUAAUGACGGUACCCGAAGAAGAAGCUCCGGCUAACUUCGUGCCAGCAGCCGCGGUAAUACGAAGGGAGCUAGCGUUGUUCGGAAUCUACUGGGCGUAAAGCGCACGUAGGUGGGCAGUUAAGUCAGGGGUGAAAGCCCGAGGCUCAACCUCGGAAUUGCCUCUGAUACUGGCUGUCUAGAGUUCGAGAGAGGUGAGUGGAAUUCCUAGUGUAGAGGUGAAAUUCGUAGAUAUUAGGAAGAACACCGGUGGCGAAGGCGGCUCACUGGCUCGAUACUGACACUGAGGUGCGAAAGCGUGGGAGCAAACAGGAUUAGAUACCCGAGUAGUCCCUGAGCGGGCUGGCAAGGCGCAU
rnacentral:rRNA from 1 species